rnacentral:sRNA from 1 species
CUGUUAUAGAAGAAGUCCUGUAUUUAUACACAGAACAGAUAUAACACAGACAGUGGCAGUACAAACUUUCCCACGUCUCCAUCAACAUGCCACAACCCUGACUUAGCUAGAACACUACUAGGAGUGAGACAUUAGCUUAGCCUCCAUGCUAUUCAAUCCAUAAGCUCAC